GAAAGCUUGAAGUCAGACGCUACUCGGCAUCAAGUUAGUAUUUUAUAUAUUUUAAAUUUAGAUUAGUAAAUAUAUAUAUUAUUUUUAAAAUAUAGAUUAGUAAUAUUUAUAUUUAGAUUAGUUUUAUAAAUUUAUUUUUAAAAAAAUAGGAAUGAUGUUGUUUACAUAUUAAUAUAUGAUAAAUUAAAGUUUCAAACCACGGUUAAAAUAUAUUAGUUUUAAUAUAAUUAUUAUUUAAAAAAACAUUAUUAAAAUUGAUGAUAUUAUUAUUUUUUGUUAUAAAUAAGUCUUGAUUAUUAGUCUUGAUUUUUAAAAAAACAUCAUUUAAAAUUUUAUAUAGGUUUGUAUAAUGAUAUAGUCUUGAUUAAUAAUUUAUUAUAUUAUUGUUUGCAAAUUAAUUAAUAUAUAAUCCCCUAAUUGACAUAUACAUCAAAGUUAUUGAUUUUAAAAAAACAUUAUUAAAAUUUAUGAUAUUAAUUAUUAUUUUGUGUUAUAAGUAUUGAUAUUUUAUUAUAUUGUUUGCAAAUUAAUAUAUAUAUAUAUAAUGUUUAUUUUUUUGUUAGUAUUGAUAUUUUUUUGUUAGUAUUGAUAUUUUUUGAUAGUAUUGAUAUAUAUAUUGAUAUAUAUAUAUAUAUAUAUAUCCGUAUACCUCAACCAGAUCAUCAAACUGCAUACCGACCAACUAUGCCAACAGCUGGGUUGAUCAGACCAGAUUUAAAUCAACAUCAACCAGCUAGGGCUCCUCAUUCGACUAGUGGUGGUGCCAUUAAAGAUGAAAUCCAAUUUCAAACCAUGAUGUCUCCUCCAACACAAAUUAAUAAUUCUUUUGAGGGACUUAUUUCGUCGGGCAUGGCAGGAAAUAAUGAUGGUGUGAGUGGAGCCGAUCAGAGGAAUUAUUAUGAGGAUUGAUGUCAUUUGAAUAAUUUCAUAAUUUAUUUUUGGGUUGUAUGAACACAUAUUAAUUAUGUUGUCUUAGUUAAUUAUUGUGUGUUUAAUUUUGCGUUUGUAAGACAUUAUUUAUAAAUUUUGGGUUUGUAAGAC
rnacentral:lncRNA from 1 species